GGUUAAGCGACUAAGCGUACACGGUGGAUGCCCUGGCAGUCAGAGGCGAUGAAGGACGUGCUAAUCUGCGAUAAGCGUCGGUAAGGUGAUAUGAACCGUUAUAACCGGCGAUUUCCGAAUGGGGAAACCCAGUGUGAUUCGUCACACUAUCAUUAACUGAAUCCAUAGGUUAAUGAGGCGAACCGGGGGAACUGAAACAUCUAAGUACCCCGAGGAAAAGAAAUCAACCGAGAUUCCCCCAGUAGCGGCGAGCGAACGGGGAGCAGCCCAGAGCCUGAAUCAGUGUGUGUGUUAGUGGAAGCGUCUGGAAAGGCGCGCGAUACAGGGUGACAGCCCCGUACACAAAAAUGCACAUGCUGUGAGCUCGAUGAGUAGGGCGGGACACGUGGUAUCCUGUCUGAAUAUGGGGGGACCAUCCUCCAAGGCUAAAUACUCCUGACUGACCGAUAGUGAACCAGUACCGUGAGGGAAAGGCGAAAAGAACCCCGGCGAGGGGAGUGAAAAAGAACCUGAAACCGUGUACGUACAAGCAGUGGGAGCACGCUUAGGCGUGUGACUGCGUACCUUUUGUAUAAUGGGUCAGCGACUUAUAUUCUGUAGCAAGGUUAACCGAAUAGGGGAGCCGAAGGGAAACCGAGUCUUAACUGGGCGUUAAGUUGCAGGGUAUAGACCCGAAACCCGGUGAUCUAGCCAUGGGCAGGUUGAAGGUUGGGUAACACUAACUGGAGGACCGAACCGACUAAUGUUGAAAAAUUAGCGGAUGACUUGUGGCUGGGGGUGAAAGGCCAAUCAAACCGGGAGAUAGCUGGUUCUCCCCGAAAGCUAUUUAGGUAGCGCCUCGUGAAUUCAUCUCCGGGGGUAGAGCACUGUUUCGGCAAGGGGGUCAUCCCGACUUACCAACCCGAUGCAAACUGCGAAUACCGGAGAAUGUUAU
rnacentral:rRNA from 1 species